AUUGAACGCUGGCGGCAUGCCUUACACAUGCAAGUCGAACGGCAGCACGGGAGCAAUCCUGGUGGCGAGUGGCGAACGGGUGAGUAAAGUAUCGGAACGUGCCCAGUCGUGGGGGAUAACGUAGCGAAAGUUACGCUAAUACCGCAUACGAUCUAUGGAUGAAAGCGGGGGAUCGCAAGACCUCGCGCGGUUGGAGCGGCCGAUAUCAGAUUAGGUAGUUGGUGGGGUAACGGCUCACCAAGCCGACGAUCUGUAGCUGGUCUGAGAGGACGACCAGCCGCACUGGGACUGAGACACGGCCCAGACUCCUCCGGGAGGCGGCAGUGGGGAAUUUUGGAAAAUGGGCGAAAGCCUGAUCCAGCCAUGCCGCGUGCAGGAUGAAGGCCUUCGGGUUGUAAACUGCUUUUGUACGGAACGAAAAGGUUUGGCCUAAUAAGCUGAGCUCAUGACGGUACCGUAAGAAUAAGCACCGGCUAACUACGUGCCAGCAGCCGCCGUAA
rnacentral:rRNA from 1 species